rnacentral:rRNA from 1 species
AUUGAACGCUGGCGGCAGGCCUCACACAUGCAAGUCGAACGAGUGGAGGACGGGUGAGUAAGGUCUGGGCAACUGACUGCUGGCGGGGGCUAACUACUGGCAACGGUAGCUACAACCGCUUAACCUCCGAUGUGCUCAGAUGGGAUUCGUUAGGUGGUGGGGUAACGGCUCUACAAGGAGACGAUCCCUAGCUGGUCUGCGAGGCGGACCAGCCACACUGGAACUGAGACACUGUCCAGACUCCUACGGGAGGGCGCAGUGGGGAAAUUUGCACAAUGGGGGCAAGCCUGAUGCAGCCAUGCCGCGUGUAUGAAGAAGGCCUUCGGGUGGUAAAGUACUUUCAGCGGGGCGGCGUUAACCGCAGAAGAAGCACCCGCUAACUCCGUGCCAGCCGCCGCGGUAAUUC